AGCCCGGUGGUGUAGUGGUCAAGCAUAGCAGGCUCUGGACCUGCUGACGGGAGAGCCUAAAAGCCCUGAGUUCGAAUCUCCCCCGGGCUACCA
rnacentral:tRNA from 1 species